GAUGAACGCUGGCGGCGUGCUUAACACAUGCAAGUCGAACGAUGAUGGGAGCUUGCUCCUGGAUUAGUGGCGAACGGGUGAGUAACACGUGAGUAACCGCCCUUAACUCUGGGAUAAGCCUGGGAAACUGGGUCUAAUACCGGAUAUGACUCCUCAUCGCAUGGUGGGGGGUGGAAAGCUUUAUUGUGGUUUUGGAUGGACUCGCGGCCUAUCAGCUUGUUGGUGAGGUAAUGGCUUACCAAGGCGACGACGGGUAGCCGGCCUGAGAGGGUGACCGGCCACACUGGGACUGAGACACGGCCCAGACUCCUACGGGAGGCAGCAGUGGGGAAUAUUGCACAAUGGGCGCAAGCCUGAUGCAGCGACGCCGCGUGAGGGAUGACGGCCUUCGGGUUGUAAACCUCUUUCAGUAGGGAAGAAGCGAAAGUGACGGUACCUGCAGAAGAAGCGCCGGCUAACUACGUGCCAGCAGCCGCGGUAAUACGUAGGGCGCAAGCGUUAUCCGGAAUUAUUGGGCGUAAAGAGCUCGUAGGCGGUUUGUCGCGUCUGCCGUGAAAGUCCGGGGCUCAACUCCGGAUCUGCGGUGGGUACGGGCAGACUAGAGUGAUGUAGGGGAGACUGGAAUUCCUGGUGUAGCGGUGAAAUGCGCAGAUAUCAGGAGGAACACCGAUGGCGAAGGCAGGUCUCUGGGCAUUAACUGACGCUGAGGAGCGAAAGCAUGGGGAGCGAACAGGAUUAGAUACCCUGGUAGUCCAUGCCGUAAACGUUGGGCACUAGGUGUGGGGGACAUUCCACGUUUUCCGCGCCGUAGCUAACGCAUUAAGUGCCCCGCCUGG
rnacentral:rRNA from 1 species